rnacentral:lncRNA from 1 species
UAAAAUUAGUUUCUGUUUUCAAAAAAUGUUGAGAAUUUUUGUCAAACCUUGUUUGACUAUGUUAGACUUAUGAUGUUCCAAUUGGACUUAUCCAAGUUGAUUUGAAUUGGAUUUGAAGUUUGACCUUUAUUUGUUCAUUUUAUUUUAUGUAUUAUUUUAAUUCCAAAAAAAUACCAAAAAUACUUUUGUUAUUUCUUGACU